rfam:Schistosoma rodhaini strain Burundi genome assembly, scaffold: SROB_scaffold0003027
AUCCAACUGAUGAGUGCUAAAUAUGACGAAACGCGCGUCGUGGAU